CUGGAAAAGUGCAGCUGUUCACCUUCAGCCCUCAGUCCUCAGGUGAGAAAACAGAAUCGUUCUACUUGGUGAGGUUCAUCGUUGUGUCUGUGGGUUUAGCAGCACUCAUAAUAAUUGUUGUGGCAGUCAACAUCUGGACAAGAACUAAAGGGACAAAAACACAGAUGGAUGAAAACACAGUGAGUUUAUAAUGUUUUUACAGUUGGUACUUUACACAGCAAACCAGUGUUUGUGACAUCUGCUCUUCAUUCUGAAGUGUAGAUAUAGAUAGAAGAAGACAAACAGAAACAAGACUCACUGAGUUGUACUGAAGUGGUCAAGAGGAACAUUUUGGAUUUGGGGUACCACAUAAACACUCCCUCUCUGGUCAAUCAGCUGGAGGAACAUGUGACAGUUUGGUACUUUUAUUUAACUAAUUACUUAAUUUCCUUCUGCAUGUCCUUUGUUACCACAAAAACAGUUGUAAGUGGCAAAAAUAUGUAACAGUAACUGAUGGUGCGUUCAGGUGCUGUCAGGUUAUUUCUUAACUCCUUGUGUUAAAUGUGGGUCAGUGAUGUGAAAGUUGUCAGUUAAAGUGUGUCAGAGUGAGGGUUUGUUUGUGUUUCACCGGUGAAUACUGAUGAAGAUGAUGGUGUGGUGAACUAUGAAAACGUUGGAGACCCUUCUGCCUCUGUCAGACUCCACUGAUCAACAACUUCCAUAUCAACAUCAGCUCAUCAGAGAAAAGACUCCUGGCUUUGGACACAAUGUUCAAGUCUGGAUUUCAUCUCAUAUUAGGAAGCCCACUAUGAGUUUUAUAAAAAUCUAUAUAAAAGUCUUUUCCUGCAUCGGUUGUGAAAAUUUUCUGCAGCCAGUCCAGAACACAGCAGCUGGAUUUCAACUUCAUUAAACAGGAACACCAUUGAUCACAACAUCAUGUUAGACAGACUGAGGCACUGGGUGAGGAUCUCUGGUCCUGCUUUAGAAUGGUUUUCAUCCUACCUGUCAAAUAGUAGGGUCUGUGUCUCUGUGAAUAACUAUGUCUCUUUAUUCUGUUCGGUGGUGUGCCUCAGGGGUCAAUCCUGGGACCCAUUUUAUUUAUAUAUGCUUCCCCCUGAACACCUUAUUCAGAAACAUGGUGUCUCUUUUCAUGCUUAUGCUGAUGACUCACAGAUGUACCUGCCUGUCAGAUGCACAGACGCUUGAAUGCUGAGUUCACUUACCGACUGCCUCUGUGAAGUCAAAAAUUGGAUGUCGAAUAAUUUCCUCCAGCUGAACUCAGACAAAACAGAGAUCCUGGUCCUUGGGUCCCAGCAAAUGGCAAAGAAAAUACUGCUAUCUGCUGGUUCCCUAAUGGAUCAUAUCAGGCCUGUUGAAUCUUGGUGUAUGGUUUGAAAGUAAUUUAAGUUUUGAGCAGCACACCACAAAGCUUGUUCAAUCAUGUUUUUACCAUCUUAGAAAUCAAAAAUACAAUCAAUGUUAACUUUUAAGGACACUGAGACCAUUUUACACAUCUUCAUCUCAUCUUGCCUGGAACUGCAACAGCCUUUUUACUUGCUUAACCCAAAAAUCUGUUGAUCGACUCCAGACUGUCCAGAACUCAGCUGCCAGGCUUUUAACCAGACAAAAGAAAUAUGAUCACAUCACCCCUGUUUUAGCUUCAUUACACUGGCUCCCAGUAUGUUUUAGAAUAGCCUUAGAUAUUUAAAAGAAUAAUUUAUAAUGGUUUUAUAAAGCACUUUGUAACAUUGUUUUGAAAACUGCUCUAUAAAUAAAGAUUAUUAUUAUUAUUAUUUCUUACAUAGGUGAUCAUAAUUAGAAAUGUUUCCAUAAAAAAAGGUUGAUCCCGUCAGUGUGAUGGGAAGUUUAAGUGUGAAGUUAUGCUGGUGUGCCUCACGUGUAAAUGGGCACAGCCCCUCUCUUAAUGAGGAGAACCUACUAUUCACAACGUUCAUUUUAUGACCAGCCUGCCCAUCCAUAAAAAAAAUCAAUAAUGAUUAUUUCAAGGUGAAAUGUCAUUGAGGAAUAUGGUUAGAACAAACAAUGAAGGGCAGAAAGUUUGAUCAUCUUAAAUAACUAAUACAACUUAUGAAUAUAAAGAAACAUUGUAGAGUACUGCUCCUAUGUGUAGGAGCCUCGUUUAAACUUCAAGUGAGAUGCAGUGGUUGUCUGAAAGUUUACAGUAUUUUCGUCAGUAGCACAAACAUGGAGUAUAAGUACAAGGCCGACCCACUGGAAGGAUAAUGGUAAGGCCUGAAGAAAACUUCAUGUGUUUCUGAUGUUUACCUGGUCAUCAUAAGAGGGUAAAACCCGCAGAGCUCUGCUGCUGUUGUUAACAACAUUCUCACUGAAACACUUCCUCUUUAGAUCUCUGAACAAAAAGAACUGCAAAGAUGCAAUGAGGAACCAGCAGAUCUCAGAUCUGCCAAAUAGAGUUGCAAUAUUGCAAACAUUUCUCUUAACUAACAAUCUUCACUCCGUCAACUUCCUCCUGUUGUUCGUUUCAGGAGGUGAAACACAUCUUUGUCACAAAUACACUGUGGGACUGGACAAAGUGUGAACCCCGUUGGCUGCAUCUCAUAUUGCUGAUCAAUAAUUUGGGGUCUCUGUCAGUCACAGUGGAUGAGAGAAAACUACAUUUCAAAAAUGUAAAAGUGAAAAUUGUAACAGAGUUUUUGGCUGUUCAGACAUCGACAAGAAAUUCAGAGACUGAAAUCUAAAACAGACUAAAAGUCACUAUGAGGAAGUGACAUCAUCCUAACCACAGGAAG